GAUGAACGCUGGCGGCGUGCUUAACACAUGCAAGUCGAACGAAGCAUUUAGAACAGAUUACUUCGGUUUGAAGUUCUUUAUGACUGAGUGGCGGACGGGUGAGUAACGCGUGGGUAACCUGCCUUGUACUGGGGGAUAGCAGCUGGAAACGGCUGGUAAUACCGCAUAAGCGCACAAUGUUGCAUGACAUGGUGUGAAAAACUCCGGUGGUAUAAGAUGGACCCGCGUCUGAUUAGCUAGUUGGUGAGAUAACAGCCCACCAAGGCGAUGAUCAGUAGCCGACCGGAGAGGGUGACCGGCCACAUUGGGACUGAGACACGGCCCAGACUCCUACGGGAGGCAGCAGUGGGGAAUAUUGCACAAUGGAGGAAACUCUGAUGCAGCGACGCCGCGUGAGUGAAGAAGUAAUUCGUUAUGUAAAGCUCUAUCAGCAGGGAAGAUAGUGACGGUACCUGACUAAGAAGCUCCGGCUAAAUACGUGCCAGCCGCCGCAGUAAAAC
rnacentral:rRNA from 1 species